UUCAAUGUAUCGAUGUUUACACCAGUAGGAUAAGAAGGAAGGAUUUUAGUCAUUAAAUCUUUAGGAGAUGCAAAACCAACCCAAGGAUUGGAUAACCAUUCCCUAUGGUCAGACUUGUAGUUUUUGCUGCUCUCGAAAGAGCUCUCGAGAAUGUCCCAGACUCUCUUCUCUUGUGCGUCAACUUCUGCUUUUGAAACCGUCUUUUCUUGUAAAAGUUGUUGUGUGUAUAUUUUAAACGUAGGGGGAUGCUUGGCAAUAGCCUUAUACAUUCUUGGUUGCGUGAAAGAAGGCUGAUCGGUUUCAUUGUGACCAUGUCGACGGUAACAAACAAUAUCAACAACAACAUCCGUUUUGAAAGCUUUACGCCAAUCUGCUGCAAGUUGGCAGAUGAAAGUGACGGCCUCUACAUCAUCUCCAUUGACAUGGAAAAUAGGAGCCUCCAUAGACUUGGCAAUGUCCGUACAGUAGGGGGUAGAGCGAGCAAAACGAGGAUCAGUAGUAAAUCCAAUUUGAUUAUUAAUGACAAUGUGAACAGUACCACCAGUGCUGUAGCCAGGUAAAGCAUGUAAACCAAAUGUUUCAUAUACAACACCCUGAGCAGCAAAAGCCGCAUCACCAUGAAUCAAAAUACCCAUAGACUGUUCGUGACUAGCCUCAUCACUAGUAUAAUGUUGGAUAGCACGAACUUUACCAAGUACCACAGGAUCCUCGGCUUCCAAAUGUGAAGGAUUAGCUACAAGAGACAGGCUAACACGUUUACCAGAUGGUGUGGGACGUUGAUAAUUCAUACCUAGAUGGUACUUUACGUCACCAGAUCCCUCAUCGUCAGGAUCCUGGGUACCACGAAAUUCUGAGAAGAUAGCUUGAGCAGGCUUACGAACAAUAUUGUGAAGAAGAUUCAGACGACCUCGAUGAGCCAUGCCAAUAACAAUGUUACUAAUACCCUCAUCAACAGAACGAUCAAUAAGCGCUUUCAUACCGGGAACCAUGGCUUCACACCCUUCGAGGCCAAAGCGCUUAUCGUUAGGAAACUUGGUGAACAGGAAACGUUCAAAACUAUCAGCCCAACUCAGACGAUCAAAAAUCAUAAUUUUUUGAUCAUGAGAGUAUCUGAAAGGAGUGGGAGUCUCUAAGUGAGACAGUAUCCAAUUGGAGCGCUUACGUGAGGAAAUAUGAGUGAACUCAACGGCAAAGCUUCCGCAAUAAAUUUUUUCGCAAGUUUCCACAAUCUCACGUAAAGUCAUGGUUUUCCGGCCAGCUUCACGAAAGUUAGGCAAAAUACCAGGACCCAGAUGAAUUGUGCGAUUAAGGUCAGAUUCCGUAAAACCAUAAUGUUCAAGUGUUAAUUCGGAAGGACGGUUGUGGUUAACGUUGAUGCCAAGCGGAUCGAGCUUGGCCAAAUGAUGACCACGGGAUUGAUAGGCACGAACCAAGAGCUGAACUUUCAUGUAAAUACCAACAUCGAUAUCAGCAUAGUUAUUACCAUUAAUGAGAGAAGAGUCCAAAGCAGUAUAAGAAUCAGCAUAGUCCAGCAAAGGUGGAGCCUGAAAAGCUUUGGAAGGGGAAACUCCACGUUCCUGAACGUUUUUGAAAUAUGCUUGCCAAGAUGCAUGUACACUGUUAGGAUCUUUUUUCCAUGCAUCAUACAUUUCAUCUACGUAAUCGGCGGCGCCUCCAGUCAAAAAAUCAUCAGUAGGUUGAGUAGCAAAGGUACGAUUUUGUUGAAGAGAAGAAAGACACGUCAAUCUGUUGAGACGGUAGGCAGUUACGGCGCUACGACGUAAAGCCCUUGCUUU